GACGAACGCUGGCGGCGUGCCUAAUACAUGCAAGUUGAGCGCUGAAGGUUGGUACUUGUACCAACUGGAUGAGCAGCGAACGGGUGAGUAACGCGUGGGGAAUCUGCCUUUGAGCGGGGGACAACAUUUGGAAACGAAUGCUAAUACCGCAUAAAAACUUUAAACACAAGUUUUAAGUUUGAAAGAUGCAAUUGCAUCACUCAAAGAUGAUCCCGCGUUGUAUUAGCUAGUUGGUGAGGUAAAGGCUCACCAAGGCGAUGAUACAUAGCCGACCUGAGAGGGUGAUCGGCCACAUUGGGACCGGGACACGGCCCAAACUCCUACGGGAGGGAGCAGGAGGGAAUCUUCGGCAAUGGACGAAAGGCUGACCGAGCAACGCCGCGGGAGGGAAGAAGGUUUUCGGAUCGGAAAACUCUGUUGGUAGAGAAGAACGUUGGUGAGAGUGGAAAGCUCAUCAAGUGACGGUAACUACCCAGAAAGGGACGGCUAACUACGUG
rnacentral:rRNA from 1 species